rnacentral:rRNA from 1 species
UACAGAGGGUGCAAGCGUUAAUCGGAAUUACUGGGCGUAAAGCGUGCGUAGUCGGUUAUUUAAAUCGGAUGUGAAAUCCCCGGGCUCAACCUGGGAAUUGCAUUCGAUACUGGAUAGCUAGAGUUCGGCAGAGGGAAGUGGAAUUUCAGGUGUAGCGGUGAAAUGCGUAGAUAUCUGAAGGAACAUCAGUGGCGAAAGCGACUUCCUGGACCAGAACUGACGAUCAGGCACGAAAGCGUGGGGAGCAAACGGG